AAUCCACAUAAAACAUUAUAUAAUAUAAAAAUAGUACGGUUGGCUACCGUAUAGCGCCUAAACGCCGCCUAAACAGUAAUCUCUCUGUUCCUUAAUAUUACAUAUUCUAGAAAAAAAAUUGUUUUAAAAAGAUCUAUUUUGUAUAUUUUCAAGACAUGUUUUAUUAACUAAUUACAAAUUUCAAAAAACUUAAUUGCACUUAUUGAAUUUUUAUUGGCUUAAAAUUAUAGAACAAAGAUAAACACAAAAAAUUAUGCAAAUUUAUUGUGUUUUAUUAAAAUGUAUAAAAAAACUAAAAAUAUGUAACAUUAAGAAACAGAGGGAGUAUUUUAGAACACUGAUUCUAACGUACCAUAAUUAUUGAAAUGCCAAGUGAGUAAGUGACGGAUAUUUGUUAUGAUUGGAUGCGCCAACUAUAGUUCAAUUGGUUAGAAUGUUUCCUAUCAUAGAGUUUUAAUUUAACGUCUGUUUAUUCGCCAAAAAGCAAGGUCAGCAUUCUCCAAGAACCACAUCUAUUCACUUCAGGCUAUUGGAUUGGUAUGAAUGAUAAUUAUUAUUGAUAAUGGAACUCUGUUUAUAUACAGAGUGAUGAACAGGUCUAGAAUCUACAGAAGUUAAUGACAAUAUACAAACGUUAAUGAAGACGAUGAUUUAGGGACUUGGUCAAUCCACAUAAUCUGCCUUCCGUAUUCUAUAUCACAGGCAUCAUGGAACCUUGAGCCUGCGGUCUACGAUAAGGUCUCAGCCGGCUGCUUUGGUCUGGAUAAACAUAAUGCCAAGAAGAAGGAGAACAAAACCGAAGAGAAAACUGGAUGCAAGUGGUUGAACAAUGUCGACCUCUUCUCAAAGUGCAGUCUAAUGAUUCAACUUGCCUAAUUACUCUAUUCUUUGUUGUAUUAGUAGACUAUGAAAACAAAAGUAUGGUUUACAUGAUUAAGUAACUAAUGUAGUAAACACAACAAUGUCAUGACCUUCCCACCCACCUAUGCUUACUGCUAUAAACCUAGACUGAAUUUUGGAAAAAAUAGAGAAAACAAAGGCAAAGAGAUGACAACGUUUCAUCGGCAAAGAUGGCUCUCCAGCUUGAUCAUGUUCUUGCUGUCGUCAUUCAUGCUAAAAUCCGAAGGAUCAAACCAUAUAGUUGGCGACAGCUCUGGUUGGGAACUUUACACAAACUAUACCAACCGGACACAGGGAAGAGAGUUUCAUGUCGGCGAUGUCUUAGUUCUCAACUACAAUAGAGACCAGCAUAAUGUUAUGCAAGUUAAUUCUACAGCCUACGUAUACUGUGGAAGAGACAAUUACAUAUCUCUCUUCAACAAAGGCAAUGACUCAAUAGUUAUAUCAGAGGUUGGUGAGCACUGGUUCAUCUGUGCAGUAGACGGCCACUGUGAGAAUGGUCAGAAGCUAUUAAUCAAAAUUUUAGUAGCUUGUUGUUAUAGUACUAAAGUAAUGUAACUAAACUUGAAUUAAUACUCUCAUUAACUCUUGAUAAACUAAUAACCUAUACAGCAUACUUUGCAACUCUUUCACCCAAAUAAAGAGAAGAGACAUUAAUUGUAGCAUUCUUGCAGAGACAGAGACAAGACAUUUAACACACUAAAACCAAACAAGUCUGGAGCAACCAUAUCUGAACAUACUAUAAAGUAUUCACUAUUCAUCAUUAAACGUAUACAAAAAGAAACAUGAUCACCAGCGUUUU